AUUGAACGCUGGCGGCAUGCCUUACACAUGCAAGUCGAACGGCAGCACGGGAGCAAUCCUGGUGGCGAGUGGCGAACGGGUGAGUAAUGUAUCGGAACGUGCCCAGUCGUGGGGGAUAACGUAGCGAAAGCUACGCUAAUACCGCAUACGAUCUAUGGAUGAAAGCGGGGGAUCGCAAGACCUCGCGCGAUUGGAGCGGCCGAUAUCAGAUUAGGUAGUUGGUGGGGUAAAGGCUCACCAAGCCGACGUUCUGUAGCUGGUCUGAGAGGACGACCAGCCCCCCUGGGACUGGGACACGGACCAGACUCCUACGGGAGGCAGCAGUGGGGAAUUUUGGACAAUGGGCGCAAGCCUGAUCCAGCAAUGCCGCGUGCAGGAUGAAGGCCUUCGGGUUGUAAACUGCUUUUGUACGGAACGAAACGGCGAGCUCUAAUACAGUUUGCUAAUGACGGUACCGUAAGAAUAAGCACCGGCUAACUACGUGCCAGCCGCCGCCGUAA
rnacentral:rRNA from 1 species